rnacentral:rRNA from 1 species
GACGAACGCUGGCGGCGUGCCUAACACAUGCAAGUCGAACGGGGAUUAAGAUUUCGGUUUUAAUCCUAGUGGCGAACGGGUGAGUAACGCGUGAAUAACCUGCCUUUCAGAGGGGGAUAACACCUGGAAACAAGUGCUAAUACCGCAUAAGACCACGCCUUGGCAUCGAGGAGAGGUCAAAGGAGUAAUCCGCUGAGAGAGGGGUUCGCGUCCCAUUAGGUAGUUGGUGAGGUAACGGCCCACCAAGCCGACGAUGGGUAGCCGAGCUGAGAGGCUGAUCGGCCACACUGGAACUGAGACACGGUCCAGACUCCUACGGGAGGCAGCAGUGGGGAAUAUUGGGCAAUGGGCGCAAGCCUGACCCAGCAACGCCGCGUGAGGGAAGAAGGUUUUCGGAUUGUAAACCUCUGUCGCAAGGGACGAAGAAGUGACGGUACCUUGUGAGGAAGCCCCGGCUAACUACGUG